rnacentral:tRNA from 1 species
AUAUAGCUAGCUCAGUGGUAGAGCACUUGCCUAGUACAUAUGAGGCACUGGGUUCAAUCCUCAGCACCACAUA